rnacentral:tRNA from 1 species
GAAAUAUAAAACAAUUAAGCUGCUAACUUAAUUUUUAGUGAAUAAAAUCAUUAAUAUUUCU